rnacentral:lncRNA from 1 species
CCCUGCUCUUGUCCUGAAGUGAAGAUUUCUUUUUGUGUGACUCCCCCUCACCUGAGUGGUGCUCUCUGGCAGGCAUGGGGACUGGGCCUCUAGGAUCUGUACAACUUGAGUAUACAAUGGAGGCCACCAGGGAGAUCGACAGAUCAGUGCAAGCCAGAUAUUUGAGAGAGACUUCAGAAGAUGGAGAAAGAGAAAAAAAAAAAACAAAAAAAAACAACUCCGAACAUCUGCCACUAGGUUUCGGAUGAGCACAGAGCUAGUAACAGACUCCAAGUAAAAAGAUCAGGGAAAUGUAAACACCAGGGUCAUUCCAAGAGCUGAGGUACAAAAGAGGGAAACUCCAGUCUUUCUUGAUAAGCUGCGCAGGGAUAGAUACCCAAUUCCUCUGUUUGUUGGGUUCCAACUGUUUGAUGCAAAAAAAGAGUGUGUCACGAGUAGCCGGAAUAAGAAGCAGCCAUCAGGACAAACACACACAUUCUGGGUUGUAAUUGGGCUCGUGUGCGUCACCACCACUUCUGGCUUCUGCCUAGUUCAGGACAUGGACAGAACACAGAAGCAACAGCAGCUCCACAUUUGGCCUCUUCUUUUCCUUAAGAUCACAUUUUGAUUCGUUUGUUCGUUUGUUUUAGAGGGUGGGGGGAGAGAGGGAGAGAGAGAGGGAAAAGGAGUGGGGGAAGGGCAGAGGGAGAGAAAGAGAGAGAAUCUCCAGCAGGCUCCACACUCCACAUGGAGCCUGAUGCAGGGCUCAAUCCCACAACCCUGGGAUCACGACCUGAGCCAAAACCAAGAGUUAGACGCUCAACCGACUGAGCCACCCAGGUCCCGUCUUGGGCUCUGUCUUUUGAUAUUGCAUAUUCUUUCGAGUCAUAUGACAUCUUUGAUGAAAGACAAGUCAAAUAUCAAAUUAAAACAUGCACUUGAACAUAGACUGGCGGGCAUGCCUAAAUGUAAUUACCUGAUCUACGCCAACAUGCUUCUAUUUUCUCUUGGCCCCAGGCCGGUACACCACCACCAGCACAAGAUAAUUGAGAGCAGUUCACAAGCAACAUCAUCCAGAGAAAAGACAUCAGUUCCUUGCCCUUGAUUCCUCAAGUCACAGUAUUCGUACUUCUGGGGCCACGCAGCAAUUUCAGGAUCAGUGAGGAUUCUUCAGAGAUUAUAUAAAGGCAGAAGCACAACUUCAAAUGAGCUUGGGGCAAAGAGGGAAUUUUUGAAUCGUGUGUCUGGAAGGCAAGUUGGGCGGGUCACAGCGAUCAAACAAAAGGGUGUGGGAGUCUGGAGUUUGAGGAUUCAUCUUGGAAUUCAAUACUGCCAGAAAUCAGUCAUCAAUCAAUCAAUCAAUCAAUCAACAAACCAAGUCUUCUCUCUCUACCAUGUUGGGGGGACACAAGCCAGAAAGCAGGAGGAGUGAUCUCAUCAGAUCCCAACCACGCUAGAACCCUGACCUUGGACUUCUAGAACCCUGACCUUGGACUUCUAGCCUUCAGAACUGUCAGAAAAUACAUUUCUGUUGCUCGAGCCACCCACUCCUGCAGGUCUAUUGGUGUGGCAGCCUGAGCCGACUAAAACAGCAAACUAGUCUAGUCUUCCUCUUAUCUCCCUGAUAUUUUAUUGUUUAUGCUCUUUUCAUGGUUGGUUUUUACCCAGUCCUGUGUUUUCAAUUAUUAUUACCUUUCAGGCCACCUGGAUACACUCUUUGACCCAGAUCUCCCAUCUGAGCUGUGUAUU